AUCAUUAGCGAGUGGUUUUCCCGCGAGGGAGCUGCCCGACCUGUUGUCAUUUGCGCCGGGGGUGGGGGAUGUGUCGGCGAGAGGGUACCCGGAGGGGACGUUUGUCUCGGAAGGGGGGCCUGGGGCCGGCGCACCGCCGCACCGGGAUUUAAACUUCGGCGGAAGAGGCAGGCGUCGACCUGCCCGCCGCCGGCGGCAAGUCUUUACAUCUUGAGGAGAAGCUGAAGUCUGAAGAAGUGAAAAACGAAGAAGAAGCAAAACUUUCAACAACGGAUCUCUUGGCUCUGGCAACGAUGAAGAACGCAGCGAAACGCGAAAGGUAAUGCGAAUUGCAGAAUCAGUGAGUCAUCGAAUCUUUGAACGCACAUUGCGCCUCUCGGUAUUCCGGGAGGCACGCCUGUUCGAGCGCCAUUACAAACUCCAAGCGUGGCUUGAUGUUGGCCGACGUCCCGGAAGGGGUGCGGCUGGAACGCGUUGGCGCCGCCGCCGGACCACGAGCGUAGCAAGACGAGAGUCGACCGCGUCGUUUUGGAACCGGCGGGUGGCCGCCCGACCUUUUGUAGUCUCAAAAAGUUUGGCCUCGAAUCAGGCGGGGAUACCCGCUGAACUUAAGCAUAUCAAUAAGCGGAGGAAAAGAAACCAACCGGGAUUGCCCCAGUAACGGCGAGUGAAGCGGCAACAGCUCAAAUUUGAAAUCUGGGGCGUUUGGCCUCCGAGUUGUAAUUUGCAGAGGGAGUCUCGGAGGGC
rnacentral:rRNA from 1 species